rnacentral:rRNA from 1 species
UUCCAGACUCCUACGGGAGGCAGCAGUGAGGAAUAUUGGUCAAUGGCCGGGAGGCUGAACCAGCCAAGUCGCGUGAGGGAAGACAGCCCUACGGGUUGUAAACCUCUUUUGUCAGGGAGCAAGGUGCAGGUCGGGACCUGCUGUGAGAGUACCUGAAGAAAAAGCAUCGGCUAACUCCGUGCCAGCAGCCGCGGUAAUACGGAGGGUGCGAGCGUUAAUCGGAAUUACUGGGCGUAAAGCGCUCGUAGGCGGUAUGUCAAGUCAAGGGUGAAAUCCCCGCGCUCAACGUGGGAACUGCCUUUGAAACUGGCAAACUGGAGUGUGUGAGAGGAUAGUGGAAUUCCAGGUGUAGGAGUGAAAUCCGUAGAUAUCUGGAGGAACAUCAGUGGCGAAGGCGACUAUCUGGCACAUAACUGACGCUGAGGAGCGAAUGCGUGGGUAGCAAACAGGAUUAGAUACCCGGGUAGG